rnacentral:rRNA from 1 species
GACGAACGCUGGCGGCGUGCUUAACACAUGCAAGUCGAGCGGUAAGGCCCUUUCGGGGGUACACGAGCGGCGAACGGGUGAGUAACACGUGGGUGACCUGCCCUCAGCUCUGGGAUAAGCCUGGGGAAACCGGGUCGUAAUACCGGAUAUGACUCCAUGGACGCAUGUUGGUGGGGGUGGAAAGCCUUGUGCGGCUGAGGAUGGGGCCCGCGGCCUAUCAGCUUGUUGGUGGGGUGAUGGCCUACCAAGGCGACGAC